GGCUAUGGCCGUGCCACCCUGAACAAACCCGAUCCCGUCUGAUCUCGGAAGCUAAGCAGGAUCGGGCCUGGUUAGUACUUAGAUGGGAGACCACCUAGGAAAACCAGGUGCUGUAGGCA
rnacentral:rRNA from 1 species